UUGGGGUUUUGUUAGGUUAGGUUAGGUUAGGUUAGGUUGAGAAUGGGGGUAGGGGUGUGUGUGAGAGAGAGGCACUGAGUCAAGAUGUAUGGUAAUUGUUUGGGGUUUUGUUAGGUUAGGUUAGGUUAGGUUAGGUUGAGAAUGGGGGGAGGGGUGUGUGUGAGAGAGAGGCAUUGAGUCAAGAUGUAUGGUAAUUGUUUGGGGUUUUGUUAGGUUAGGUUAGGUUAGGUUAGGUUGAGAAUGGGGGGAGGGGUGUGUGUGAGAGAGAGGCAUUGAGUCAAGAUGUAUGGUAAUUGUUUGGGGUUUUGUUAGAUUAGGUUAGGUUGAGAAUGGGGGGAGGGGUUUGUGUGAGAGAGAGGCAUUGAGUCAAGAUGUAUGGUAAUUGUUUGGGGUUUUGUUAGGUUAGGUUAGGUUAGGUUAGGUUGAGAAUGGGGGGAGGGGUGUGUGUGAGAGAGAGGCAUUGAGUCAAGAUGUAUGGUAAUUGUUUGGGGUUUUGUUAGGUUAGGUUAGGUUAGGUUAGGUUGAGAAUGGGGGGAGGGGUGUGUGUGAGAGAGAGGCACUGAGUCAAGAUGUAUGGUAAUUGUUUGGGGUUUUG